GGGUUGUGAGGUUAAGCGACUAAGCGUACACGGUGGAUGCCCUGGCAGUCAGAGGCGAUGAAGGGCGUGCUAAUCUGCGAUAAGCGCCGGUAAGGUGAUAUGAACCGUUAUAACCGGCGAUACCCGAAUGGGGAAACCCAGUGUGAUUCGUCACACUAUCAUUAACUGAAUCCAUAGGUUAAUGAGGCGAACCGGGGGAACUGAAACAUCUAAGUACCCCGAGGAAAAGAAAUCAACCGAGAUUCCCCCAGUAGCGGCGAGCGAACGGGGAGGAGCCCAGAGCCUGAAUCAGCAUGUGUGUUAGUGGAAGCGUCUGGAAAGGUGCGCGAUACAGGGUGACAGCCCCGUACACAAAAGCGCAUGUGCUGUGAGCUCGAUGAGUAGGGCGGGACACGUGGUAUCCUGUCUGAAUAUGGGGGGACCAUCCUCCAAGGCUAAAUACUCCUGACUGACCGAUAGUGAACCAGUACCGUGAGGGAAAGGCGAAAAGAACCCCGGCGAGGGGAGUGAAAAAGAACCUGAAACCGUGUACGUACAAGCAGUGGGAGCACCCUUCGGGGUGUGACUGCGUACCUUUUGUAUAAUGGGUCAGCGACUUAUAUUCUGUAGCAAGGUUAACCGUAUAGGGGAGCCGGAGGGAAACCGAGUCUUAAUUGGGCGUUAAGUUGCAGGGUAUAGACCCGAAACCCGGUGAUCUAGCCAUGGGCAGGUUGAAGGUUGGGUAACACUAACUGGAGGACCGAACCGACUAAUGUUGAAAAAUUAGCGGAUGACCUGUGGCUGGGGGUGAAAGGCCAAUCAAACCGGGAGAUAGCUGGUUCUCCCCGAAAGCUAUUUAGGUAGCGCCUCGUGAAUUCAUCUCCGGGGGUAGAGCACUGUUUCGGCUAGGGGGCCAUCCCGGCUUACCAACCCGAUGCAAACUGCGAAUACCGGAGAAUGUUAUCACGGGAGACACACGGCGGGUGCUAACGUCCGUCGUGAAGAGGGAAACAACCCAGACCGCCAGCUAAGGUCCCAAAGUCAUGGUUAAGUGGGAAACGAUGUGGGAAGGCCCAGACAGCCAGGAUGUUGGCUUAGAAGCAGCCAUCAUUUAAAGAAAGCGUAAUAGCUCACUGGUCGAGUCGGCCUGCGCGGAAGAUGUAACGGGGCUAAACCAUGCACCGAAGCUGCGGCAGCGAACGUAUCACCCAAGACAACUUUACGGAGUUGACGAUUGACGGAGCGAAGCGACGUCAAAGCGUUCAUUAAAGUCGAGUUGGCUUAGGGAUACGUUCGUUGGGUAGGGGAGCGUUCUGUAAGCCUGUGAAGGUGUGUCGUGAGGCAUGCUGGAGGUAUCAGAAGUGCGAAUGCUGACAUAAGUAACGAUAAAGCGGGUGAAAAGCCCGCUCGCCGGAAGACCAAGGGUUCCUGUCCAACGUUAAUCGGGGCAGGGUGAGUCGACCCCUAAGGCGAGGCCGAAAGGCGUAGUCGAUGGGAAACGGGUUAAUAUUCCCGUACUUGGUGUUACUGCGAAGGGGGGACGGAGAAGGCUAUGUUGGCCGGGCGACGGUUGUCCCGGUUUAAGCGUGUAGGUGUGUGUUCCAGGUAAAUCCGGUUCACUUUAACACUGAGGCGUGACGACGAGGCACUACGGUGCUGAAGCAACAAAUGCCCUGCUUCCAGGAAAAGCCUCUAAGCAUCAGGUAACACGAAAUCGUACCCCAAACCGACACAGGUGGUCAGGUAGAGAAUACCAAGGCGCUUGAGAGAACUCGGGUGAAGGAACUAGGCAAAAUGGUGCCGUAACUUCGGGAGAAGGCACGCUGACACGUAGGUGAAGUGAUUUACUCAUGGAGCUGAAGUCAGUCGAAGAUACCAGCUGGCUGCAACUGUUUAUUAAAAACACAGCACUGUGCAAACACGAAAGUGGACGUAUACGGUGUGACGCCUGCCCGGUGCCGGAAGGUUAAUUGAUGGGGUCAGCGUAAGCGAAGCUCCUGAUCGAAGCCCCGGUAAACGGCGGCCGUAACUAUAACGGUCCUAAGGUAGCGAAAUUCCUUGUCGGGUAAGUUCCGACCUGCACGAAUGGCGUAAUGAUGGCCAGGCUGUCUCCACCCGAGACUCAGUGAAAUUGAACUCGCUGUGAAGAUGCAGUGUACCCGCGGCAAGACGGAAAGACCCCGUGAACCUUUACUAUAGCUUGACACUGAACAUUGAGCCUUGAUGUGUAGGAUAGGUGGGAGGCUUUGAAGUGUGGACGCCAGUCUGCAUGGAGCCGACCUUGAAAUACCACCCUUUAAUGUUUGAUGUUCUAACGUGGACCCGUAAUCCGGGUUGCGGACAGUGUCUGGUGGGUAGUUUGACUGGGGCGGUCUCCUCCUAAAGAGUAACGGAGGAGCACGAAGGUUGGCUAAUCCUGGUCGGACAUCAGGAGGUUAGUGCAAUGGCAUAAGCCAGCUUGACUGCGAGCGUGACGGCGCGAGCAGGUGCGAAAGCAGGUCAUAGUGAUCCGGUGGUUCUGAAUGGAAGGGCCAUCGCUCAACGGAUAAAAGGUACUCCGGGGAUAACAGGCUGAUACCGCCCAAGAGUUCAUAUCGACGGCGGUGUUUGGCACCUCGAUGUCGGCUCAUCACAUCCUGGGGCUGAAGUAGGUCCCAAGGGUAUGGCUGUUCGCCAUUUAAAGUGGUACGCGAGCUGGGUUUAGAACGUCGUGAGACAGUUCGGUCCCUAUCUGCCGUGGGCGCUGGAGAACUGAGGGGGGCUGCUCCUAGUACGAGAGGACCGGAGUGGACGCAUCACUGGUGUUCGGGUUGUCAUGCCAAUGGCACUGCCCGGUAGCUAAAUGCGGAAGAGAUAAGUGCUGAAAGCAUCUAAGCACGAAACUUGCCCCGAGAUGAGUUCUCCCUGAGACUUAGAGUCUCCUGAAGGAACGUUGAAGACGACGACGUUGAUAGGCCGGGUGUGUAAGCGCAGCGAUGCGUUGAGCUAACCGGUACUAAUGAACCGUGAGGCUUAACCUUACAACGCCGAAG
rnacentral:rRNA from 1 species